GUUGUAGAUUAGAAUUUGUUGCUUUUUAUAUUGAUGAUGAAGUUUUGCGUUUAGCUAUUAUCCCUCUCCUUGUGUCAUUAAUACAUUUUCUCUUGCUGUUUGGGAUUUUUUUGCCUCCACGAUUUCUUUACAUAUUAAGAACUUUUAUGAACAGAGAGGAUGGGACGCUUUCGUUUCAUAACCCUUUGUUGAUAAGUUUUGAAGGCUGUUAUGUAAGUGAAAACCAGUUUCUGGUCAUACUUCAGGCACUUUUAAAGAAGUAAGUGCUUAUGUUGCCAAAAAUUGUGUCGUACUUGGGUUUUUAGAAAAAGAAAACAUUUAGCUCAAGGGAAUGUGUAACUUGUUAAACGGUAAGUUAAUUUAAAUGUUAAAUCGCUGACCCGAAGGUCCUGAUGUAAGCUUUUAGUUACUGACAAUGCAUUAAUUCUACUCCCUCCCUUGAACUUUCCCCUAGAAAUGAUUGGGGUUGUAGCCUGGUUUUCAUUAGGAUGAAUAAGUAAACUGUACUGUCUGAUCUUCUGUUCCUCAUUAGUAAUCAAAAGGACUGCUUGUCUGGCCACAGGAUACACGAUGCAAACGAACUUUGAUUUUAAAGUUUCCUCCCUUUUCUGUGUAACAUGUAGCAUAACAUUUCAUGUACAAAAAUGGCAGGUGUAUGGCUUUCUCCUCAUGUGAAAGCUUUCUUUUGCCAACAUUUCUUGUUAUUUACAGACAUCGACUUUGAAAAAAAUAAUUGAAGAUUAUAAUUCAUCUUAAAAUCAUUUUUUGGUAGUCCAGAAGGAUUUAAAUUGAGUUACAGAUUUGAGCAAAUGGUUGUGUUGUUGGAGGAGGAUAUGGUUUUAACUGCUCAAUGAUUCUUCAUCUCAGGGGAAAAAUCAUCCAUUACUCUUUUCAGUGGUGUCUUGGAAAGAUAAAAUACUUUUGAAGACAAGAGAUGAAGUUGAUAUUGAACGAGACAGAUGGAUUAUUUUUAAAAGUCGAACAUAGAGAAAGUGGACAGGCCUUUCCUCUGGAAUGACUGUUAAGCAAAAUCAGCUUGACUUUUUCGAUAUAUGUUUUCAGGUUAGGAGAGAGCCCAAGACGACUCCUCCAAAUGUUUCAUGUUGAAGAUAGAAUUGAAACUUAGCCUGACUCCUAGGGUUCUGAAUCUCCACUUCCAAACUGGACCAAAGGGAACGUGAAGCAGGGCCACAAAGCUUCAAGUGGGUAGAUUAAAAAAGCAACAACCAACAACAAAAAGCCAACCAGGGAGGGAGACUGCACUGUCCCCUCUUACCAAGGACGUUAAUAACCAUUGGGAGGGAGCGAUCCUUCGAGACAGCAAGUGCGAGGAAACCGGCAAUGGGAUGGUGCCUGUGGUCCUGUCCAGGAAGACACAGAAGCAGGCGGCUUUCAUUUGGAGAGGCAGGAUGUUUUUUCCUGUAAUUAUCAUUUUUAAAGCAACAUCCCAGAGUGCUUCACAUUUUCCAGUGACCAUUUUUCCUUUUUCUUAAUUAAAUCUUUCAACUGCCCA